rnacentral:rRNA from 1 species
GAUGAACGCUGGCGGCGUGCCUAAUACAUGCAAGUCGAGCGAACAGACGAGGAGCUUGCUCCUCUGACGUUAGCGGCGGACGGGUGAGUAACACGUGGAUAACCUACCUAUAAGACUGGGAUAACUUCGGGAAACCGGAGCUAAUACCGAAUAAUAUAUUGAGCCGCAUGGUUCAAUAGUGAAAGACGGUUUUGCUGUCACUUAUAGAUGGAUCCGCGCCGCAUUAGCUAGUUGGUAAGGUAACGGCUUACCAAGGCAACGAUGCGUAGCCGACCUGAGAGGGUGAUCGGCCACACUGGAACUGAGACACGGUCCAGACUCCUACGGGAGGCAGCAGUAGGGAAUCUUCCGCAAUGGGCGAAAGCCUGACGGAGCAACGCCGCGUGAGUGAUGAAGGUCUUCGGAUCGUAAAACUCUGUUAUUAGGGAAGAACAAAUGUGUAAGUAACUAUGCACGUCUUGACGGUACCUAAUCAGAAAGCCACGGCUAACUACGUG